rnacentral:tRNA from 1 species
UUCCAUGUGGCUCAGACGUUAAAGCAUCUGCCUUGCAAUGCAGAAGACCCCGGUUCAAUCCCUGGGUUGGGAA